rnacentral:lncRNA from 1 species
UGGACAAUUCUAGACAUAGGAUGCAUAUACUGUACAGGGUUGGCUCUCAAAAGGCUUCCUCUCCUUGUCUACUCUCCUCUGUCUCUGCACUAAUAUGAGGGUCGUGUAUGGCGGUAGGCCACUGGGACACUUGUUUUCACUAAUCCAGAACUAUUUCAGAGCAGCGUAAUGAAGGAAAGGUGACAAGGAGACUAUAGGAUUUGAUAGAAUUACACAAUAUAAUACUUUUGAGAAUCAACCAUCAUUAGCCUGGAUGCUUGAAUCGGAAACUCUUAUUUUUAUAAAUGUUUAAUGUUCUUACAGACAUUGAUUAUUGUGAUUGUGGUUUACAUGAAUUGGAAGACUUUAACUGUUAUUGGAAAGGAAUAUUGUACAGUGUUACUUUAGCCCUGUGUUCACUUAUGAACUAAGAGAAAGUAUCUGUUGUGCAACGUUCAUGUUUCUGGCAUUUUAAUGGAUUGAGUGCUUCGAACAGCCUACAUAGAGAUUGUGCUGCUUAAUUCUGGCCCUAAUGGGCCACCAUACCCUAACAUACUAUUGGAUAUUUGUGACAUUUUUAUGAAUUUAUUUUGUAUUGCUAACCAUCUCUCUCCAAUUCUGUUGCCUGCCCACCUUUUUUUCCCCAAAGAACAUCAAAUGCAGGAGAUUACAUGUUAACAAAUAGGAUGCUGAUGUUUUAACACUUGAACAAGACUAUUUGAAACCCUACUCUUUAUGUAUAACUGUUGUUAAAACAAAAAUAUUGGCAUGGAACACAUUGAAAAUGCACUUCCUAGAGGAGACUGUCUGCCCCUAAAAACAUGGGAAAUGCACUUCCUUCAGAAAGUUGGUCAACUGGCUUAGAGCAGAGGUUUAUGGGAAAAUAAGUUUUCAACCGAUAUUCACCUGCACCCAGAGACUUGUGGGAAAUACAGACCUCAGAUGCCAUUUUAAUGAUUGGCUCUCGUCAGCGGCAGUGAUGCUGUCACUGUUACCACGGCAACGGACGGAUGAAUUGAGAAAAAAUGUACUGUAUUCUUGCUCAUUGUGCUGGUAUGAGAGAAAGGGGAGGGGGAACUAAUUGGGCACACAGAGAAGGGCUCUGCAGACAAUGAGAGGAAGAGAGAGAGAGAGAGAGGCAGCGAGAGAGAGAGAGAGAGGCAGCGAGAGAGAAAGAGAGAGAGGCAGCUAGAGAGAGAGAGACUGGCAACCAUAAGGUGUUUGUUUGGUUCACUUGCCCCAGUAUUGCAGUGAGAGACACACAUUCCUUCCAGAAUUAUAUGUUUUUUCAAAUCAGUUUAUUUUAGAAUAAUACAGAAGUACAGUACCAGUCAAAAGU